CCACCAAAUCCCCACCGAUGUCACCGCCCACUGUGUGCCUUCUUAUCCCCAACACAUCGCCUGCUCCGCCCUCAUCUUCCUCCUCUGCUGCCUGACCACCCAUCGUUGCUCCUCCUCCUCUCCUCUUCUCCAUCCACCUUACGACCCAAGUGUUGCUCUCCUGUUCUUGGCCGCGGUGGCUGGCCAGAGCCACACCCUAGCUGACAGCGUCGGCGUGCUUUGUGGCUACGGUUGGGGCGUUGGUGGCCUGCUCAUCGGUGCACUGGGGCCGGGGCGGAGCCCCCUUCCUUGAAGUGGUGGUGGAGCCCCUCCUCCCGGAGGGUGUCUGGGAGCAACCGGGGUUGCGAGGCAGGUGUGCAGUGGCUCGGUUGUGCCAGAUCUGGGCGCCGACCAGCACACACGCGGGGGGGGGGGUGUCUGGUGGUGCUGCCAGUGGCCACGGACGUGGGAGUGCCGAAGCUGCCUCCGGUGAGAGCCCUCGGGCCCCGAUUUUCUCUUCCAUGAGCUGGUCUCUUGGUCUCUGUACCACGAAUCAACAUGGGCAUCAAUUUUCUCUGUAUCUUCAGUUCGGCUCUCUCUCUCCUUCUUUAGGAUUACUGUCUCAAAUGGCAAUUAAGCUAAGACCUUUCUUUGUAUUAGGCUUGGCACCGAUGGUGCUUUUCUUUGGAUUCAUGCGCCUCUCCUCUUUGCUCAUUUUAAAUUGGUGACGCAUAUAAUACAUGCGGCAGACAGCUUUCUUUAUUUCUCUAGGGCACAAGACUUGGUUCAUAAGGCAAGGACAACUCGUCAGGAGCUCGGGCACGCUGGUGAGAGGAGGAGCUGAAGCGGAAUGGUGGUGCCGGGUGAUGCGAUCGCCGGCGUCAGCCGGCAGCGGAUUGAGCAUCACGUGGGUCGCGAGCCUCGCGGCUAGGAUCCGGAGGCGAGGGUGACUCCGUCCUCAUGUUGUUCAUGUUUUUUUACAAUCUGGGACGAAACGUUUUCUGAUUUUAAAAAAGGAGUGUGGGUUGAAUUACCUAAAACACAAGGGAUUUUCUACAAAACUGUCACAGUGACGUACAACCAGAAGCACUCGGCGGUUUAGUAUUAGGGAAAGAUUGUCAGUUAUAAUGUUGUGUGGAAAUCCAAAACGAAAGAUCACCUUUUUCAUGAA